UAUUCCCAUACUCGUUUCUGCAUUUGUAAAGUAGUAAUGCUCACGUAUGUGCGAUUUUUUUUUUUUUUUUUAUUAAUUAUAUAUUGUUCUAUACUAUUCCAUUUUUGUUAUAUAUAUAUACAUAUAUAUAUAUAUAUAUGUAUAUAUUACCUGGGUAAUACCCCCAUUAUUGCUUUUUGUUUUAUAGCAUGUUCCGAGUGACGAAAAAAUAGACUACGAAAUAGAACUAUUUUUUAGAGAGGAAGAUAUGAAUAGUGAGACUGGUAUUUUAUUAAUAAAAAAAAGUAUAGUAAAUCCAGAUGCGUUAUUUCAGUUAAGAGAUUAUUUAAAUUUGUACGGUUUCAAAAUAUUAGAAGAAAAAGUUAUAAAUAUUAAUAAUUCGAUGUUAACGUAUUUAAUUGGUGAAAAUAAAAAUAAAAAACAAGUUAAUAGACAAGAUAGUAGAACGUUAAAAAGUAACAAUGAAAAAUUUAUCAUCAUUUUAGUUUACAGAAUGAAUUGUCUUACAUGCUUAGAAUAUUUAAUUGAGUUAAAAAGUGUUAGAGAAUAUAAAAUAAAAAGUCCUAAUUGUAUUUUAAGUAUGUUUAUGUGUUAUGAUUACGGAUUAGAUAAUCGUCACAUGAAUACUCCUAAUGACAGUAAACAUAAUUAUAAAGACAUUGGAAACGAUAAUUACUAUAACAGUAACGAAAACAAUAUAGGUAAUAAAAAUAUAAUUUUUGUGAAAGAUAAAGAUAAAAGAGUAGAAUUAAUAAAGCAAUAUUUUAAUUUUGCAAAGUAUAACGAUACAGUUACAGUAGAUAUGAUCCGUGAUUUUUUUUUUUGUAAAAACGUUAAAAAUUUUGAAAAAGAAGAAAAGAAUAUAAAAUUAAAUGAUGUAUUAAUGGAAUGUUUUACUGAGAUUUGUGAAAUAAAACCAGAUGAAUAUAAUGCGAUAUCUUGGUUAUCUAAUUGGCUCGAACAAAAAGAGAAAGCAAUUAAAAGCAACAUACAGAUAAAGAAAAAACUGAAAAAAGAAUCGAAUGAAGUGGUUAUAUUAGGUCAGGAGAAUAAAGAAGAAAGUGAAAAUGGGGAAUUUUUGAAAGAGGAGGAUAAUAUGGAUGGAAGUGACAACACAGAAAGGGAUAGGUACGAUAAUAGUAUAAAAAAUGAAAAAGAUGAAUU
rnacentral:lncRNA from 1 species